AGCUUUGGCGAGGCUGCGAUCGGUCCCGAAGGGGACGCGGCGAUUUUGAGAUCCAUGCGCCCGCGUUGCGGUCGAUCGCAGCCUCGCUAAGGCU
rnacentral:misc_RNA from 1 species